rnacentral:rRNA from 1 species
GACGUAGGGGGCCAGCGUUGCUCGGAAUUACUGGGUGUAAAGGGUUCGUAGGCGGUGUGGCAAGUCGGGAGUGAAAUCUCUGGGCUCAACCCAGAGUCUGCUUCCGAAACUGCUGUGCUUGAGUGUGGGAGAGGGAUGCGAAUUCCAGGUGUAGCGGUGAAAUGCGUAGAUAUCUGGAGGAACACCGGUGGCGAAGGCGGCAUCCUGGACCGACACUGACGCUGAGGAGCGAAAGCCAGGGGAGCAAACGGG